AACAGAUUAAUAUUCAGCAGAGCGAUAAAUGCAUCCUUCUCCUUAAUUCUGCUGCAGGCAACCCUGCAGGCACCUCUGUCCUUGGUUGCUUUGAUCAGCUCCACCUGUGCCCACACCUGCUGCCCAUGGACGGCUAUACUUCUGACUUUUUACUCUGCCUUUGACUGGAGUUUGUGGGGCUGUGGUUGGAGGUUUUGGCUGCUGUGGAACUGCUACAUUGGCUUAGUGAACCUAUCUGUACCUGUUGGCGAUUUGAACCUCUGCCCACACAGCCCUGUGACCAGAGACUUUCAACAGGCGCUUACAAGAUGGCUGAUAGGCCACAAGAAGCCAUGGGUAGCAUCAAAGAGAUUGAAUGGAGAGUCUUGUUUUAAAUACAUAUAUUUUUGUGAGGAAUGUAACAUCUUUCAUCUGCUAGAAGCUAAAGGUUUGUCUCCUUGGCUGCAAUAGAGGGAAGAUGACGUUUCCUUUCUUUGUCUUUGUGAAGCUGAAAAAGAUUGAUGCCCUUUAAGAAGAAUCUAAGGCUAUGUACUUCUAUAUUUUAACAUUUGGAAGUUGUGUUUUCAUAGCUGAAAUUUAACAGUGCUUCAAUUGAUCUACUAUUCCAUCUGUGUCUAAUCACUGCUGGGCCAAUACUUACAAACUCCCCAGACCAUGAAUCACACUUAAGUAAUCAUCAAUCUAUUGAAAACAUGUUGACUGCUGCUUACCUCAGCCUCAAAAAUCUGUAAUCCAUGUUAUUCUGUGGGCCACAGCUUGGUAGCUAUCAGUUAAAAUGUUAUUUCAGGUGCAGGGAAACCAGCAGAACAUUUUGGUGUAUGCGUUGAAAACUUUUCAGUAAACUGACUUUUACCACAAAAUUUAAAACUCUGUGGCAUUUAGAAAAGAGACACACCUUCCCUCCUGCC
rnacentral:lncRNA from 1 species